rnacentral:rRNA from 1 species
GACGAACGCUGGCGGCGUGCUUAACACAUGCAAGUCGAACGGAAAAGCCCUGUACUUGUGGCGUGCUCAAGUGGCGAAAGGGUGAGUAAAACGCGUGUAACCUCCCCUUGACUUUGGGAUAACAUCAGGAAAAUGGAGCUAUAAUCGGACAGGAGAACCUGCUACAUGGUGGGGGAGGGUGAGUUACGGCGGUUCGGGAUGGACACGCGGCUUAGCAGCUUGUUGGUGGGGUAGUGGCGUACCAGGGCAUUGAGGGGUAGCCGGACUGAGAGGGUGACCGGCCACAAUGGGACUGGGAUACGGCCCAGACUCCUACGGGAGGCAGCAGUGGGGAAUAGUGCGCGAUGGGCGGAAGCCGUAAGGAGGAACUUCGCGUGCUAGAUAACUGCCUUCAGGUUGUAAACCGCGUGCGCCUGUGACGAAGCGUGAGUGACGGUAACUAGUAAAGAAGCACCGGCUAACUACGUG